rnacentral:rRNA from 1 species
CCUACGGGAGGCAGCAGUGAGGAAUAUUGGUCAAUGGGCGGAAGCCUGAACCAGCCAAGUCGCGUGAGGGAAUAAGGCCCUACGGGUCGUAAACCUCUUUUGCCGGGGAGCAAGGGCGGGGACGUGUCCCGGCCCGGAGAGUACCCGGAGAAAAAGCAUCGGCUAACCCCGUGCCAGCAGCCGCGGUAAUCCGGAGGAUGCGAGCGUUAGCCGGAUUUAUUGGGUUUAAGGGGUGCGUAGGCGGGCUUUUAAGUCAGUGGGAAAAAUUCGGGGCCCAACCCCGUCCGGCCGUUGAAACUGGGGGCCUUGAGUGGGCGAGAGGAAGGCGGAAUGCGUGGUGUAGCGGUGAAAUGCAUAGAUAUCACGCAGAACCCCGAUUGCGAAGGCAGCCUUCCGGCGCCCUACUGACGCUGAGGCACGAAAGUGCGGGGAUCGAACAGGAUUAGAUACCCUUGUAGUC